rnacentral:lncRNA from 1 species
GAAUACAUAUCUGUGUGUGUGCCUUAUAUUUUAUGUAGAAAAAUAAUAAUAAAAUUCAUACAUUUUUAUCUUUUAUUUUUGGUAAUCAUCCUCACAAGUUGCUUUGACUUUAGAUUUUGGUUUAGGUUUUUCGAGAAGAUUUAAAAAAAUAAAAAAAUCGUAUGACCAUAAUAUAUAAAGAAGAAAACGUAUAAGAUUAGAAAGUUUGAGAGAAGACCACAAUUUAUAUGUAAAAAUGACAAGAAAUUAGUUUUAAGAUGAGAAAAUUGAAUCAACAGUUACAAUCAAUUCAUCCGCGGAAAGCACUCGUGCUCUCCGUUGCCAGGAGCAAUUCUGUGUGUUGUGAAAGAGCCAUUAUCUAGAAUCCUUGCCGUUCAAAUUGCGAUGUGUCUCUGUGUGUUGGUAUGUGGGUCUCUAUAAAAUCUUGCUUCUUUGGACAGUGCAAUGGGAAGCUUUCAUGAAAUUUAGAAAUCGUUGCUUCUGCAAAUUUGCACUGGGAAUUUGCUGUUAAGUCGCUCAAUCUGAAGUGCAGCUCAGAUGUGGGUCUGAGGAGUCCUUGCCUUCCAGGAUUUCAUGCUCGACUUUUGAAAGGGAUAGAGCUUGAAAGUAGAUGACUCUGACAAUCAUUUAGCUUGCUAAGUAGGUUUCCUCUAGAAUAUAGAUAUACAGAACUUGGUGUUCGUUGGCUUUU